GCGCACUUCAGGGAACUGGGUGUGAUUUUGAUUUACAGUACAGUAUUUUAUUUUUUUGCGUGCUUGGUGGGUCACGUCCGCACACGACGUUCUUUUAAAGCGGCCUUGCACCCAGGGCCGGAUUUAGUUUUGAUGAGGCCCUAAAGCUACUGAAGAGUCCGUUCCUUUGAAAAAACUGGAGUCCAACCAGUGAAACGGGAAGACUUUUAGCUAGCAACCCGUCCGACAGACAAGGACAACUGAGGAACUUUGCUUUAAACAUCAUAUCCAUGAGCGUUCAUUGUACAAUCACCUAACACUAUAUAGGAUUUCAAAGUGAAUUUUUGCACUUUAAGAGUUGACUAUACUUGGAAUGUAUGCCAUAGGCUAUAGCCAUUUAAGUGAUUUUUGUUAGCUCAUGUUAUUUUCAGUUAUAUUUUUGUUAUAAUAUCACAGUUUUUGUACAUUUUGUAUUGGUUAUUAUUUCCGUGAUUGUCUGCUUAUUAUUGCACAUGGCGGGGUGAAGAGAGCUCAGAGAGCAGCGAGUCAUCAUCUGAGAGUGAGGAUGAGGCUCCCUCAGUUCCAGUAAUCCAGAAGAAAUUGCAAACUCCUCAGCCUCCCGCUGGAGCCAGACAAAAUCAGAUUGAUAAACCAGGCACCCCAGCGAAAGCCGCGUUGAGGGCUUGAAGGGGAAGGAGAUGGAGAGUGAGAGCAGCAGCUCAUCUGACAGUCAGGAUGAAAUGAUUCCUCCAACACAACAUAACCUGCCAUCUCCUUUCGCAAUCAAGGCAAACGCUGCACCUCAGGUGUUGUCUGCUGCAAAGUCCCUGCCCCCACCAGGAGGACCACUUCAGAAGGCCCAGGAGAGUGAAGACAGUAGCCAGGAUUCUAGCGAUGAGUCUGACUCUGAGGAAGACAAAGUGUUCACCCAAAAACCAGCUCAGGAGACUCAGAAACCCACACUCGCUCCUGCGAAAGCUCCAGCUGCAAAGAUGGCAGGUGCCACAUCAGGCAAAGCAGGCAACGCUCAGCCAGCAGGAAAAAGUUUGGACAGGAAGCCCAAUGAAGUCUGCAGCUGCCUCUCUCUAGAAGGCUGCAGAGAGGUCAGAGACCAACAGCUCUGAUUCUUCAGAGGAUGAGGUGGUGGCUGCAAACCCUGUGAAACUGCCCCCCAUUCACCCCUUUUUUCUGCCGAAAGCAGUAAAAACAGCUGCUCCUCCAGUGAAACAUGCACAACAGGCCAGCUCCAGUACACCGAACUCUGUUUCCACCAAGUGCCAAGGACCUGCUGUAGUAAGAAUGGGGAAGGUGGAGCAGAGCUCCUCCAAGAAGCCUAAACUAAGCCAGGCUCUGAUAAACCCGAUGGGAUCCUUAAGCACAAGGAGAGUUCCUCAGAUAGCACAGUUCCUCAGAUAGCGAGGAGGAGACAUUGACAACUGCCAAGCAGAUCCCACAGCCUGCAAGGAUACCA